rnacentral:misc_RNA from 1 species
AUCAUGCUAUGUUUGGAUUGAUGGAUUUGGUCAUAUGGAUUUGGAUUUGGGCCACUUUCUCUGUUUGGAAGCCUUAAAAAAAAAAAAUAGAUUUGGAUUUGCACCAAAUCCCAAAUAAAUUUGGAGGUAUAAAAACUGAAGAUUUAAUAUAACAACUUUACCCUUGUUAUUUUAAAUCUCAAAUUUCAAUCUGUCCAGCAACUGAAGGCAGGGGUGAGCAG